AGGAAUAUUGGUCAAUGGGCGCGAGCCUGAACCAGCCAAGUAGCGUGAAGGAUGAAGGUCCUACGGAUUGUAAACUUCUUUUAUAAGGGAAUAAAGUCACCCACGUGUGGGUGUUUGUAUGUACCUUAUGAAUAAGCAUCGGCUAACUCCGUGCCAGCAGCCGCGGUAAUACGGAGGAUGCGAGCGUUAUCCGGAUUUAUUGGGUUUAAAGGGAGCGUAGGCGGAUUGUUAAGUCAGUUGUGAAAGUUUGCGGCUCAACCGUAAAAUUGCAGUUGAUACUGGCAGUCUUGAGUGCAGUAGAGGUGGGCGGAAUUCGUGGUGUAGCGGUGAAAUGCUUAGAUAUCACGAAGAACUCCGAUUGCGAAGGCAGCUCACUGGAGUGUAACUGACGCUGAUGCUCGAAAGUGUGGGUAUCAAACAGGAUUAGAUACCCUGGUAGUCCACACAGUAAACGAUGAAUACUCGCUGUUUGCGAUAUACAGUAAGCGGCCAAGCGAAAGCAUUAAGUAUUCCACCUGGGGAGUACGCCGGCAACGGUGAAACUCAAAGGAAUUGACGGGGGCCCGCACAAGCGGAGGAACAUGUGGUUUAAUUCGAUGAUACGCGAGGAACCUUACCCGGGCUUGAAUUGCAACUGAAUGAUGUGGAGACAUGUCAGCCGCAAGGCAGUUGUGAAGGUGCUGCAUGGUUGUCGUCAGCUCGUGCCGUGAGGUGUCGGCUUAAGUGCCAUAACGAGCGCAACCCUUAUCGAUAGUUACCAUCAGGUUAUGCUGGGGACUCUGUCGAGACUGCCGUCGUAAGAUGUGAGGAAGGUGGGGAUGACGUCAAAUCAGCACGGCCCUUACGUCCGGGGCUACACACGUGUUACAAUGGGGGGUACAGAAGGCAGCUACACGGCGACGUGAUGCUAAUCCCGAAAGCCUCUCUCAGUUCGGAUUGGAGUCUGCAACCCGACUCCAUGAAGCUGGAUUCGCUAGUAAUCGCGCAUCAGCCACGGCGCGGUGAAUACGUUCCCG
rnacentral:rRNA from 1 species